UACGUAGGGUGCGAGCGUUAAUCGGAAUUACUGGGCGUAAAGCGUGCGCAGGCGGUUUUGUAAGCCAGGUGUGAAAUCCCCGGGCUCAACCUGGGAAUGGCAUUUGGGACUGCAAGGCUGGAGUGCGGCAGAGGAGACUGGAAUUCCUGGUGUAGCAGUGAAAUGCGUAGAUAUCAGGAGGAACACCGAUGGCGAAGGCAGGUCUCCUGGGCUGACACUGACGCUCAUGCACGAAAGCGUGGGGAGCAAACAG
rnacentral:rRNA from 1 species